rnacentral:rRNA from 1 species
CCUACGUGGUGCAGCAGUGGGGGAUAUUGCACAAUGGGGGGAACCCUGAUGCAGCGACGCCGCGUGGGGGAAGGAGCGUUUCGGCGCGUAAAGCCCUAUCGGCAGGGAAGAAGAUGACGGUACCUGACCAAGAAGCCCCGGCUAACUACGUGCCAGCAGCCGCGGUAAUACGUAGGGGGCAAGCGUUAUCCGGAUUUACUGGGGGUAAAGGGGGCGCAGACGGCAAUGCAAACAAGGAGUGAAAGCCCGGGGCCCAACCCCGGGACUGCUCUUGGAACGUCAUGCCUGGAGUACAGGAGGGGCAGGCGGAAUUCGCGGUGUAGCGGUUAAAUGCUUAGAUAUCGCGCAGAACCCCGAUUGCGAAGGCAGCGUACCGUCUCCACACUGACGCUGAGGCACGAAAGCGUGGGUAUCGGACAGGAUUAGAUACCCUUGUAGUC